GGAAUUUAGUCCUCGGUAGUGGGGGACAACGUUUCGAAAGGAACGCUAAUACCGCAUACGUCCUACGGGAGAAAGCAGGGGACCUUCGGGCCUUGCGCUAUCAGAUGAGCCUAGGUCGGAUUAGCUAGUUGGUGAGGUAAUGGCUCACCAAGGCGACGAUCCGUAACUGGUCUGAGAGGAUGAUCAGUCACACUGGAACUGAGACACGGUCCAGACUCCUACGGGAGGCAGCAGUU
rnacentral:rRNA from 1 species